rnacentral:sRNA from 1 species
GGCUCAGUGAGGCGUCCGGACUGGCCCAGGGAGGUGGGCAACUACCACCCAGGGCCGGAAAGCUCUCCAAACUCGGUCAUUUAGAGGAAGUAAAAGUCGUAACAAGGUCUCCGUUGGUGAACCAGCGGAGGGAUCAUUACCGAGUUUACAACUCCCAAACCCAUGUGAACAUACCUUACAGUUGCUUCGGCGGAGCCGCCCCGGCGCCCGGAACCCAGUUUCGCGGCCCGGACCAAGGCGCCCGCCGGAGGCCACAAACUCUUCUGUUUUUACAGUAUCUUCUGAGUGUGCCGCAAGGCAAAAACAAAUGAAUCAAAACUUUCAACAACGGAUCUCUUGGUUCUGGCAUCGAUGAAGAACGCAGCGAAAUGCGAUAAGUAAUGUGAAUUGCAGAAUUCAGUGAAUCAUCGAAUCUUUGAACGCACAUUGCGCCCGCCAGAAUUCUGGCGGGCAUGCCUGUUCGAGCGUCAUUUCAACCCUCGGUCUCCCUCCGGGAGAGACCGGCGUUGGGGACCGGCACUUACCCCGCCGGCCCCGAAAUGAAGUGGCGGCCCGUCCGCGGCGACCUCUGCGUAGUAACUCCACUCGCACCGGGACCCGGGCGCGGCCACGCCGUAAAACCCCCAACUUCCGAAUGUUGACCUCGAAUCAGGUAGGAAUACCCGCUGAACUUAAGCAUAUCAAUAAGCGGAGGAAAAGAAACCAACAGGGAUUGCCCCAGUAACGGCGAGUGAAGCGGCAACAGCUCAAAUUUGAAAUCUGGUCCCCAGGGCCCGAGUUGUAAUUUGUAGAGGAUGCUUUUGGCGAGGCGCCUUCCGAGUUCCCUGGAACGGGACGCCACAGAGGGUGAGAGCCCCGUCUGGUCGGAUGCCAAGCCUAUGUAAAGCUCCUUCGACGAGUCGAGUAGUUUGGGAAUGCUGCUCAAAAUGGGAGGUAUAUGUCUUCUAAAGCUAAAUAUUGGCCAGAGACCGAUAGCGCACAAGUAGAGUGAUCGAAAGAUGAAAAGCACUUUGAAAAGAGGGUUAAAAAGUACGUGAAAUUGUUGAAAGGGAAGCGCCUAUGACCAGACUUGGGCCCGGUGAAUCAUCCAGCGUUCUCGCUGGUGCACUUUGCCGGGCACAGGCCAGCAUCAGUUUGGCGCGGGGGAUAAAGGCUUCGGGAAUGUGGCUCCCUCGGGAGUGUUAUAGCCCGUUGUGUAAUACCCUGCGCCGGACUGAGGUACGCGCUCCGCAAGGAUGCUGGCGUAAUGGUCAUCAGCGACCCGUCUUGAAACACGGACCAAGGAGUCGUCUUCGUAUGCGAGUGUUCGGGUGUAAAACCCCUACGCGUAAUGAAAGUGAACGCAGGUGAGAGCUUCGGCGCAUCAUCGACCGAUCCUGAUGUUCUCGGAUGGAUUUGAGUAAGAGCAUACGGGGCCGGACCCGAAAGAAGGUGAACUAUGCCUGUAUAGGGUGAAGCCAGAGGAAACUCUGGUGGAGGCUCGCAGCGGUUCUGACGUGCGAAUCGAUCGUCAAAUAUGGGCAUGGGGGCGAAA